rnacentral:rRNA from 1 species
CCUACGGGAGGCUGCAGUAGGGAAUAUUGCUCAAUGGGGGAAACCCUGAAGCAGCAACGCCGCGUGGAGGAUGGAGGUUUUCGGAUUGUAAACUCCUUUUGUUAGAGAAGAUAAUGACGGUAUCUAACGAAUAAGCACCGGCUAACUCCGUGACAGCAGCCGCGGUAAUACGGAGGGUGCAAGCGUUACUCGGGAUCACUGGGCGUAAAGAGCGCGUAGGCGGGAUAGCAAGUCAGAUGUGAAAUCCUAUGGCUUAACCAUAGAACUGCAUUUGAAACUGUUAUGCUAGAGUGUGGUAGCGGUAGGUGGAAUUCUUGGUGUAGGGGUAAAAUCCGUAGAGAUCAAGAAGAAUACUCAUUGCGAAGGCGACCUGCUAGAACAUAACUGACGCUGAUGCGCGAAAGCGUGGGGAGCAAACAGGAUUAGAUACCCGAGUAGUC